GAUGAACGCUGGCGGCGUGCCUAAUACAUGCAAGUCGAGCGAACGGACGAGAAGCUUGCUUCUCUGAUGUUAGCGGCGGACGGGUGAGUAACACGUGGAUAACCUACCUAUAAGACUGGGAUAACUUCGGGAAACCGGAGCUAAUACCGGAUGAUAUUUUGAACCGCAUGGUUCAAAAGUGAAAGACGGUCUUGCUGUCACUUAUAGAUGGAUCCGCGCUGCAUUAGCUAGUUGGUAAGGUAACGGCUUACCAAGGCAACGAUGCAUAGCCGACCUGAGAGGGUGAUCGGCCACACUGGAACUGAGACACGGUCCAGACUCCUAUGGGAGGCAGCAGUAGGGAAUCUUCCGCAAUGGGCGAAAGCCUGACGGAGCAACGCCGCGUGAGUGAUGAAGGUCUUCGGAUCGUAAAACUCUGUUAUUAGGGAAGAACAUAUGUGUAAGUAACUGUGCACAUCUUGACGGUACCUAAUCAGAAAGCCACGGCUAACUACGU
rnacentral:rRNA from 1 species